AGGUCCUUUUUGACCCUUCUGUGUGCAUCCCUCCUGAAGCUGGGCUCUGGGUGGAAGAAAACGACCACCUCCAACAGAGAAGGACCAUUUUCUCAGUCAAGAGUAUAAGUCUAGCUGUGCCACCCCCAUUAGAAUCUCCAAAGAAGCACUUCGCUCUCACCUGCUUUGUACCAUUAUUGGCAUCUUUAUGCAUCCUCAUUCCUGAAGCACUCCAG
rnacentral:snRNA from 1 species